rnacentral:lncRNA from 14 species
CCUUAGGACGCAGCAUGCCUGCGUCUCUUAACCCUGACCUGCUCCCACAAACACUACAGUCGCAGCCUCUUGCCCUCCCUCAUCGCUUCCGGUGGCCCGGAAGCCCAGCUACGAGGCACCUGGGAGUUGUAGUCACCGGGCUUAUUUACUGAGGCUGUGGUCCAAUUCCCGCCCCGCGCGGGGGCCUCUGGGAAUCGUAGUUUUUUGUGACCGCUCAAGGAAUUCUGGGAACUAUAGUUCAGCUUUUCAGUCAGACCAUGUGGCUGUGGGGGGGAAAAGAGCGGGAGCGCAAGGACAGUGGCAAUGUUGGAAGGACUUUUAACCUCUUCCACGCGAAGGGCGCCUCCGUGCCUACUGGUCAAUCGCAAUCUAAUAAUAAAUCUCUGUAUCUGUUAGGCACA